rnacentral:rRNA from 1 species
AUUGAACGCUGGCGGCAGGCCUAACACAUGCAAGUCGAGCGCGCGGCGGACGGGUGAGUAAUGUUUGGGGAGCUGCCCGAGGGAGGGGGAUAACUACUGGAAACGGUGGCUAAUACCGCAUCCUAUAGGAUGUACCCAGAUGGGAUUAGCUAGUAGGUGAGGUAAAGGUUCACCUUGGCGCCGCUCUCCAGCUGGUCUGAGCGGAUGAUCAGCGACACGGGGACUGAGACACGGCCCAGACUCCUACGGGAGGCAGCAGUGGGGAAUAUUGCACAAUGGGCGCAAGCCUGAGGCAGCCAUGCCGCGUGUAUGAAGAAGGCCUUAGGGUUGUAAAGUACUUUCAGCGGGGAGGCGUUACUCGCAGAAGAAGCACCGGCUAACUCCGUGCCAGCAGCCGCGGUAAUUC